UACGUAGGGGGCAAGCGUUGUUCGGAAUUACUGGGCGUAAAGGGCGCGUAGGCGGCUGCGUAAGUCGGGCGUGAAAGCCCGGGGCUCAACCCCGGAAUGUCUCUCGAAACUGCGCGGCUCGAGUGCGGAAGAGGCAACUGGAAUUCCCAGUGUAGCGGUGAAAUGCGUAGAUAUUGGGAAGAACACCUGAGGCGAAGGCGGGUUGCUGGGCCGACACUGACGCUGAGGCGCGAAAGCCAGGGGAGCAAACGGG
rnacentral:rRNA from 1 species